rnacentral:rRNA from 1 species
AGUGAACGCUGGCGGCAGGCCUAACACAUGCAAGUCGAACGGCAGCACAGGAGAGCCUGCUCUCUGGGUGGCGAGUGGCGGACGGGUGAGGAAAACGUCGGAAUCUGCCUAUUUGUGGGGGAUAACGUAGGGAAACUUACGCUAAUACCGCAUACGACCUACGGGUGAAAGCGGAGGACCUUCGGGCUUCGCGCAGAUAGAUGAGCCGACGUCGGAUUAGCUAGUUGGCGGGGUAAAGGCCCACCAAGGCGACGAUCCGUAGCUGGUCUGAGAGGAUGAUCAGCCACACUGGAACUGAGACACGGUCCAGACUCCUACGGGAGGCAGCAGUGGGGAAUAUUGGACAAUGGGCGCAAGCCUGAUCCAGCCAUGCCGCGUGGGUGAAGAAGGCCUUCGGGUUGUAAAGCCCUUUUGUUGGGAAAGAAAAGCAGCCGGUUAAUAGCCAGCAGCAUGGCGGUACCUCCUUAGCAAGCACCGGCUAACUUCGUGCCAGCCGCCGCCGUAACAC